rnacentral:rRNA from 1 species
GACGAACGCUGGCGGCGUGCCUAAUACAUGCAAGUCGAACGAACCGCGACUAGGUGCUUGCACUUGGUCAAGGUGAGUGGCGAACGGGUGAGUAACACGUGGGUAACCUACCUCAUAGUGGGGGAUAACAGUCGGAAACGACUGCUAAUACCGCAUAGGACAUAGGAUCACAUGAUCCAGUGAGGAAAGGUGGCGCAAGCUAUCGCUAAGAGAUGGACCCGCGGUGCAUUAGCUAGUUGGUAGGGUAAAGGCCUACCAAGGCGAUGAUGCAUAGCCGACCUGAGAGGGUGAUCGGCCACAUUGGGACUGAGACACGGCCCAAACUCCUACGGGAGGCAGCAGUAGGGAAUCUUCCGCAAUGGACGCAAGUCUGACGGAGCAACGCCGCGUGAGUGAAGAAGGUCUUCGGAUCGUAAAGCUCUGUUGUUAGAGAAGAACAGCGCAUAGAGUAACUGUUAUGCGUGUGACGAUAUCUAACCAGAAGCCACG